rnacentral:rRNA from 1 species
AUUGAACGCUGGCGGCAGGCUUAACACAUGCAAGUCGAGCGGGGGAAGUUGCUUCGGUAAUUGACCUAGCGGCGGACGGGUGAGUAAUACUUAGGAGUCUGCCUAUUAAUGGGGGACAACAUCUCGAAAGGGAUGCUAAUACCGCAUACGCCCUACGGGGGAAAGCAGGGGAUCACUUGUGACCUUGCGUAAAUAGAUGAGCCUAAGUCGGAUUAGCUAGUUGGUGGGGUAAAGGCCUACCAAGGCGACGAUCUGUAGCGGGUCUGAGAGGAUGAUCCGCCACACUGGGACUGAGACACGGCCCAGACUCCUACGGGAGGCAGCAGUGGGGAAUAUUGGACAAUGGGGGGAACCCUGAUCCAGCCAUGCCGCGUGUGUGAAGAAGGCCUUAUGGUUGUAAAGCACUUUAAGCGAGGAGGAGGCUCUUUUGGUUAAUACCCAAGAUGAGUGGACGUUACUCGCAGAAUAAGCACCGGCUAACUCUGUGCCAGCCGCCGCUGUAAGAC